AUUUAAAUAGUUUAUAAAAAAUUUUGAUUUGUGGAAUCAAAGAAAUAUUAAUU
rnacentral:tRNA from 1 species